UACGAAGGGGGCUAGCGUUGCUCGGAAUCACUGGGCGUAAGGGCGCGUAGGCGGUUUUGCAAGCCAGAGGUGAAAUGCCUGAGCUCAACUUAGGAAUUGCCUUUGGGACUGCGAGGCUUUGAGGACUGAGAGUGAGUGGAAAUUCCCGGUGUGAGAGGUGAAAUUCCGUAGAUAUCGGGAGGAACGACCGGUGGCGAAGGCGGCGACCUGGGUAGAUACUGACGCUGAGGCGCGAAAGCGUGGGGAGCAAACAGG
rnacentral:rRNA from 1 species